UGGGGAAUAUUGGACAAUGGGCGAAAGCCUGAUCCAGCCAUGCCGCGUGUGUGAAGAAGGUCUUAUGGUUGUAAAGCACUUUAAGCGAGGAGGAGGGUACUGGUAUUAAUACUACCAGCUACUGGACGUUACUCGCAGAAUAAGCACCGGCUAACUCUGUGCCAGCAGCCGCGGUAAUACAGAGGGUGCGAGCGUUAAUCGGAUUUACUGGGCGUAAAGCGCGCGUAGGUGGUUCGUUAAGUUGAAUGUGAAAGCCCCGGGCUCAACCUGGGAACUGCAUCCAAAACUGGCGAGCUAGAGUAGGGCAGAGGGUGGUGGAAUUUCCUGUGUAGCGGUGAAAUGCGUAGAUAUAGGAAGGAACACCAGUGGCGAAGGCGACCACCUGGGCUCAUACUGACACUGAGGUGCGAAAGCGUGGGGAGCAAACAGG
rnacentral:rRNA from 1 species